rnacentral:rRNA from 1 species
CCCUUAGAUGUCCUGGGCUGCACGCGAGCUACACUGAUGUGUCCAGUAAGCACCUAACCUCUUCCGAAAGGAACGGGUAACCUUUGCAAAGCACAUCGUGAUGGGGAUAGAUUAUUGCAAUUAUUAGUCUUGAACGAGGAAUUCCUAGUAAGCACAAGUCAUCAGCUUGUGUUGAUUACGUCCCUGCCCUUUGUACACACCGCCCGUCGCUCCUACCGAUUGAAUGUUCCGGUGAGCUCUUCGGACUGCGCGGUCUGCAGUUUCUGCGUUCCGUGCGGAAAGUUGCGCAAACCUUAACAUUUAGAGGAAGGAGAAGUCGUAACA